rnacentral:rRNA from 1 species
UGAGUAACACGUAUCCAACCUGCCGUCUACUCUUGGCCAGCCUUCUGAAAGGAAGAUUAAUCCAGGAUGGCAUCAUGAGUCCACAUGUCCGCAUGAUUAAAGGUAUUUUCCGGUAGACGAUGGGGAUGCGUUCCAUUAGAUAGUAGGCGGGGUAACGGCCCACCUAGUCAACGAUGGAUAGGGGUUCUGAGAGGAAGGUCCCCCACAUUGGAACUGAGACACGGUCCAA